UUUUAUUAGUUAAAAUUAGUAGAAUUUGUAGUAUUUGUUAAAAUUUAGAAAUAGAUAGUGUCAAACAUCAAUUAGAUACAAUUUAAAGUUAAGCAGAAAAGUUAAAAAAAAAAAUUGCUAAUGCUAAGAAAAUAACACUUGUAAGAAAAUCUUUAACUUUUCCAUAAUUUUUAUUUACUUGUUAAUUAAGAUUUUAUUUUUAGAAGUGUCAACUACAUCAACUGUCAGUUGAAAUAUAUGUUUUGGUCAAAUACAUGUUUGUAUUUGGUCCUCCAAAACUUGAAAGUCUGUGAUUCAAAAUUUUGCUUUUCCCAAAAAAAAGUUAAAGAAAAUACAAUGAAGUCAAUGAUAAAUCUUAAAGUUUUACAAAGAUUAAUCAUUUGUUCCUACUGCAGAAUCAGAAAUAGAAAUUGAUUUUAAUACAUAAAAAAAAAACACAAGAAAACUCCUAUAAGUCAACAAAACAGAAAGAGAAAAGAAAAGGCCUUUUUGAAGAACCAUCUUUGUCAUCAUUGCCAUUGUGGGAGCCACCAAAGUUUCCUGAUUUCUAUUAAAACUUUCUGCCUGUCUCUGCCUCAGUGGAUCAAUUAGAUGACUUGCCAGUUAAACAGAUAGUGAUUCUAUCCGAGAAUCAGUAUGUUUCACAAAUUCAACCGUUAUUAUAUUAAUCUUCUUCCUUUUCUUAACCAUCUCAAAACACUGGGAUUGACCAAAUAAAUAACUUUAUUUACCAGCUAAUUCAGUUAAAAAGUUUGACUCACUAGGAAAUAAAAUAAUUAACUCUAAUGAUAAAGAUAUCAUUUGUAGAAAGAUGAAGCAAGUUGGUGGGAGAAAUGUAAGUGACUUUUUAAAAAAUGCUUUAAAAACUUGUUUAACAAACUAGCUAUGUUGCAGCAUUAAUCGAACUGGUGCAAAUAAAAAGCGUAGGUUUAUAGGACCAGUCGAAAGUUUGAUUUUUAAUGCAGCUUACUGUUUAUUUCCAACUGCCACUGAAUUCAGUGUGACUACCAUAAUUGCGAAACACUUGAACAAAUCUAAAGAUCGUUAUUUUUCUACAAGAAAGAGAAAAUCAUCUUUAAUAAUUGAUAUACAAGUACACAGUCCUGUUAUAAAAGAAAUUUAAACUCUGACUCGUGUAGUGAUUCCAGUUGACUUAUUUUUUUAAUUUGUUCUAUUAUUAUUUAUUCACUUUUUUUAUACAUUUUUUUUGUUACAUCUGUUUUAGAAGUAUUUUUGAAAGUUGA